AAGAAGAAGAAGAAGAAGAGGCGGAAGGAGGAGGAGGAGAAGAAGCACAGGUGCACGCAGGUGUUCCGAAGACAACAGGAAGUGGGUUUGACCCGCCUGCGCGGACCAUGGAGGCCACUAAGAGUCCUCAUGCAGGCAUCUCAACAUACUGUUAAAACUUCAUCGGUGCAGCCUCUGGCGUUGCUCACAGUGUUCACACAGUGGAGGGUUUCAUCAGUGCCUGCUCCCCAAACAGCUGCUUAAAGUGGACCACAUGCUCCUCACAGUGCUCUCCUGGAUUAAAGCUGGGGCUCCCUCUCAGCCGUUGGUUUCUCUGCUGGAACGACCUGAACACAGUGUAGAACAACAUCUGGUCUCCGGUUUGCCGCGCUGCGUCCAGAAACUUCCUCGCCGACACGUUGUCAUGUCCGCCUGCCCGGAGGAAACCAGUGCAGCGUUAGUUUGCUGUGUGUGUGUAUGAACAAAGAUCAACGUACCGACGCUGCGGAUGAAUCUCAGUGCGCCCAGAACCUGCUGCUUGGACAACAGGACCUCGACGAUCUCAUCAUUGGCCGUGGACAGACGCUGAAAACACACAAACAUUAAAUAUAAUUAAAAUCUAAAGAACAGCCCACCAA